rnacentral:lncRNA from 1 species
CCCCAGGUCUCUGGGAAGGAGAGGACCUCGCUGCAGAAACAUUUUUCCGGAAAGAGCAGCCGCGUUCAGUUGCCUGAAUAACGUGGGGUCCAGCGCCACCUAGUGCCCGCUGUGGUGCUUGGUGUGCGUCCUGAGCUCUGGAUGGGGCGUUUCGGAAAGUGGCUGUAACCAGGACAGGGGCUACCAUUCUCUGCGUGCAGGGCUGUCCUCAUGCCCACGACAAGGGUCUGUGAUUUUGGUGGGAGAAGCUGAGGAGCUACAAUCCUAAUGCGUCACAGAUGGAAGUGUUGGGAGCUCCUUGAAGGCAAGAGGCAGGUCUUGUGCCUUUCAACACACCCACAAGACCUUAUCUGGGAUGAGCAGAGAAUUUGAGAGGUGGACCAUUAAGAUGCAAGUGAAUUCUCAGAGAAGGGGCACCGCUUGCUGUCUGCUGGAUGGCCCCUCCUGGGAUAAGUACUCCAGGAGCCUGGGUCUACGUGCCAGCUGGUGCCCGCCCUCCUCCCCCACAGCAUCGGUCCGUGAUUCCAGCCUCACCCCCAUCACCACCCUGUGGAAGGGAAGGCCAGCGAUGUGUGAGAUGAUUCGGUUUUGCACAGCAUUUGUUACUUUUCUUCUUGUUUUAAUUAUUUUAUUGGGGUCUUAUUGGUUUACAACGUUGUGUAAAUUUCAGGUGUACAUCACUGUGUUUCAGUUUCUCUAUAGAUUGCAUUGUGUUCAUCACCAACAAUCCAGUUUUUAUCUGUCACCAUACAUAUGUGUCUCUUUACGCCUUUCACCCUCUCCCCACCCUCUUCCCCUCUGGUAACCACUAAUCGGUUCUCUGUAUCUAUGUGUUUGUUUAUCUUCCACAUAUGAGUGAAAUCAUAUGGUAUUUGUCUUUCUCUGUCUGACUUAUUUUGCUUAGCAUAAUAGCCUCAAGGUCCAUUUAUUUUGUUGCAAAUGGCACAAUUUUGUCUGUUUUAUGGCUGAGUAGUAAUGUAUCGUAGAUAUAUUAUCUAUAUCACAUCUUCUUUAUCCAUUCAUCUGUUGAUGGGCUCUUGGGUUGCUUCCACG